rnacentral:lncRNA from 1 species
GGGUGUUGCACCAUUCAGUUCCGGUUUCUUUUUAUAUAGUAGCAGAAAAGCAAAAAGAAGAAAAAAAACAACAUUUAUUGAAUUCAAUUUUAUCAUUAUAGUGAGCUUUCACUACUCAGGAUUUUUAUGUCAGGACUUUCCAUUGAAUCUCACAGCUGAGGCCUCGAAGUGGGACACCCAGCCAUACCCCAUUCUUUAGCAGCUACUGCAUUCUCACAAGCCUCGUUUCCCCUCCAAGUUAUAAAGGUGGGGGUUAUCAUGGUCUACAAUCACUCUGCAGUUUGUUUGGUUCACUAUUAUUGGUCUGCCACCAAUUAUACAAUCCCCUAAUGGUUGCCAGUUCUUCUCAGGAUGGGACAAUGCAAUUUGAGUAACACUUGCAGCCUUAAAGGACACUCUUUGAGCAUUUGAACGCCUGUGUGAGACAUUCUGGUUGAAGUUGGAGAUAAGACGAAGACCCACCACCCAUGCGCCAAUUCCAUCACAGCAUGUUACUCCAAAGAUGAUUGGUUAACCAAAGAAGAGUUUGACAAGAGACCCUAGGUCAGGGAUAGGCAACCUUCAGCACUCCAGAUGCUGUAAACUACGUUCCCCAUAAUUCUCUUACACUCAUAAUGCUCACAAAGGAUCAUGAGAGGUGUAGUUCAAAACAUCUGCAGUGCCGAAGGUUGCCUACGCCUGCCCUAGGUCCUGUUUGGAUGCCUGUGUGGUUGACAUUUGGUAGGAUCCAGGUCAGAUCUGCAGAUGUUUGAUAGGCAUCAGGUAGCCAGGGGCAUUACCCCUUAUACUGAUUGACUGCUCCUAUUCCAUGAGGGUCCAUAGGUAAAGUCUAUGAUGCUUAACUGUGUGGGCAUGCACCCAGCAAUGCAACUCUCCAUGGAACCCUUUAAGUUCUGCAGCAAGAAGAAACCUUGAUGUCCAUAACAUCUGGACUUUGAAGCAUCGUGCAUUUGUCUGCAAGCAUGCUUGGAGGCAGGAUGGUGACUUCAUCCUGCUCUGAAGAGGUUUUGAGCCCAGUAUCUAUAUGGUGACUGGCUCUACACCAUUUAUCCACCUUCUGGUGGUGGUCAUGCUUUGACGAGGUAAGUAUUAGCUCCUGGGGAUAUUGUAUUUGUUCGUGUAGCAAGGCUGAACCAUAUCUUUAGCAUUUCCUGACCAGGUUUAUAGUUAGCUAUUGACUUUUUCUGUUUAUCUUUGCAAGGUCCAAUCAACACUAGUUCACUUAUGCCUAUAUGCCUGCACAUCUUAAAUGAUCUCUCCAUGCUGUAAGCAUGUUUUAUUCUUGAUUACGUGGGAGACUCAUUUGUAAUGGUAUCAUACGUAAGCUGCUUUGAUAAUUCUAGAUGUAUGGCUUCUUUGAUGAAUGUUACAUUGCAAUUGGAUUUUAAUUUCAUGUACAUAUAAUGUCUGAUUAUUUUUAUUUGUGCUCUUUGAUAUAAAUUAUACCAUAAGUUAAAAAAAAAAGGAAUUAAAAUAGAAAUAUUGUUUAAUUUCGCUUCUUUAUGUUCUCUCUGUGCUGACGGAUAGACGCCAGGGGCAGAGCUUAUAACAAGAACUGAUGCGGUGUUAAGAUGGAGGUGCUCAGUUCCAGGAUACAGAAGUGGAUUAUCUACAUUUAAAACUCAUUUUGUAGACCUUCCAAGCAAAUAUUUGUUAAAAAAAAAAAAAAAACAAGUCAAUCCAAUAUUAAAAUUCCUGGAAAGUAAGUGUUCCAUGUAAAUAUUUAUUCUGUUAUGAUAAGUAUACGGGAUCAUUCUUUAUAUCUGUUGGGAUAAUAUUUUAUGUUCUAAAAUGAGAACACAGUUUAUGUCGAAGAUUAGAGGAGGACCUGACGAAUAGUCAAUUUGUCACUGAAAAGUACAUUCCAGACACACCACUAACGCUAAAAGGUAAAGCGUCUGGGGAGAUUGGUGAAAACUGGUUUGAUGUAGAGGUAAAAAAUUAGUAGGGAAUACAAUCUAUAAUUAAAGGACACUAAAGUCUCAAUGAAGGGGUCACUGUGCAGUGGCUCUGUCCUUUAAAACCCAUAAAAUACACCUCUCGUGGCUCUCUGACAGCAACUAGAGGCACUUCCUCUACAAUCUCCGAGUAAAACUUUGUCAUGUUAAGUUGCAGCUAUGAGAAGCAUUUGGAUGCACAUCAUUUUUCCAUUUUCUUUUUGUUGUAGUCACUUAAAAUGGCAUUUGGGCUCUGUCCUGGGAGAUAAUUAAAUUACUUCACAAUUAUCUCCCUGAGCAGAGCAGAGGGUUCUGGGUAAGAAAAGGGGAAUGGCUAAGUGUGUACCCUGUGAUUGGUUGCUACAAUGCCUUUGUCACAGUCUCCCAUUUGGUCCCCUAGGGGAGUGUCCAUCAAGUGGGAGACCUGCAUAAAUACUGGGCAGGUAGCCCUCAUUAAACCAGACCACUGCUUGACCCUCAACACGGAGCUCUGUCUCGUUCUUAGGGGAAUUUACUGUAUGCUGAUAGAGACUGAUUGCUAGGAGUGUAAGCCACUUGGGUGCUUUUCCUAUUCGUCUGCUAGCAGCUAUUCGUGAGGUUCCAGUUCGGGAGUUUGGAGUAUUCCCUUAUAUGCGGUUCGGGAGUUUGGUGUUCUGCAGUAGCUGUGCCUGUAUCUCUGGAAGGGGAAGAUCUUCUAAAUGGCGGUUUAACCCUUUUAUGCCUGGGGGUGCCGUUACAAUUGGUGGCAAGCGGCGAGAUCGUUCCUGCAGCCAGAAGGACAGCUACAGGAGACACCAUUUCUUUGGAUUUUACAAAUUGAGGGCAACACAUGUCUGAGUACAGCGACCCUGACAGCACCAGGAUGGAACCAGCAGUGGAGUACGAUGAGGGUGUCAUGGAUGACCGAGAUGCAGUCCGCAAAAGGCAUCUGGUACCAGGCACUGGGUAUUGUGGAGUACCAGCGGGGCGAGAGACUCCCCAAGGAAGACCAGCGAUUGCAGAAGCGACUAGCCCUGCGGAUGCCCUUCCUGGGAGAGCAGCCCCUGAAGGAAUUGUUAUGGGCAAAUGCAAAUACUACAAGUUUUAGAAUGAAAUGUUGUAUUUCUUAAACUGUG